rnacentral:rRNA from 1 species
AUACGGAGGGUCCAAGCGUUAUCCGGAAUCAUUGGGUUUAAAGGGUUCGCAGGCGGUUUAAUAAGUCAGUGGUGAAAUCCUACAGCUCAACUGUAGAACUGCCAUUGAUACUGUUAGACUUGAAUAUAGUUGGAGUAGGCGGAAUGUGUAGUGUAGCGGUGAAAUGCUUAGAUAUUACACAGAACACCGAUAGCGAAGGCAGCUUACUAAACUAUUAUUGACGCUCAUGAACGAAAGCGUGGGGAGCGAACAGGAUUAGAAACCCCAGUAGUCC